GACGAACGCUGGCGGCGUGCUUAACACAUGCAAGUCGAACGGAAAGGCCCUGCUUUUGUGGGGUGCUCGAGUGGCGAACGGGUGAGUAACACGUGAGUAACCUGCCCUUGACUUUGGGAUAACUUCAGGAAACUGGGGCUAAUACCGGAUAGGAGCUCCUGCUGCAUGGUGGGGGUUGGAAAGUUUCGGCGGUGGGGGAUGGACUCGCGGCUUAUCAGCUUGUUGGUGGGGUAGUGGCUUACCAAGGCUUUGACGGGUAGCCGGCCUGAGAGGGUGACCGGCCACGUUGGGACUGCGAGACGGCCCAGACUCCUACGGGAGGCAGCAGUGGGGAAUAUUGCACAAUGGGCGGAAGCCUGAUGCAGCAACGCCGCGUGCGGGAUGACGGCCUUCGGGUUGUAAACCGAUUUAGACUGUGACGAAGCGUGAGUGGCGGUAAUGGGUAAAGAAGCACCGGCUAACUACGUG
rnacentral:rRNA from 1 species